GGUAUAUCGGUAUACCGAACAGUCCUAAAUCGUAUUGCAUAUAGCAGCCAAAAAUGAUUUGUUUUAUAGUCUUGCCACAAACAUCAUUAGUAAGCAGCAUCAUUUUGACAUUUCUGAACAGUAAUUAAAAGGGGUCUAACUUCAUGUUAUUUAAUUAAUCACUUUUAUGGGAAAUGGAAUAAUUCAUUUUGUUAUAUGGUUAGUGUCAAAGUUCAAUUUUUCUGUUUUCUGAUUGGACAAAAGCGUAUCACAUGCCGGUCUGCAAAACGUCGUGUUUACUGCUACUGCAUUGCUCUGGCAACGAGGCAACAGGUCCAUAAUAGAACAUUUAUUGACCGGUCCACAAUAGAAUGGGUGCAGUGCGCAUGUGCGUCAACCGUGUAGUUCCAAAGUUAAUUUUAUUAAACAUUUAUGUCGUUCCAUUUAUAAUCUAGUUUUGGUUUCAAAGUUCACUCCAAUAGCCGGAGAAUUAUUCAUACUUUGACACUUGUAUACUAUAUAACAAAACGCUUAUUUGAGACGUUGGGAAAGCAGUGUGUUUUGAUGCUUACGCCCGUAUUCUAAAAGCUCACUCACACUAAAUGAGUGGAGGUUCAAUCUGAGCUUCUCUUGAGUGUCAAUACUGUUUUCAAAUAGCUGGAGGGUGAGUAGUCACUGAGUAAGGUAUGAGACUAGCCCUCCAGCUAUUCAAAAACAGCAUUAACACUCAAGAGAAGCUCAGAUUGAACCUCCAGUCAUUGAGUGUGAGUGUGAGUGAGCUUUUAGAAUACGGGCGUUAAUCUGGGUUAUAAUGAUAAACAGCCAAUUUUAGAAGGCAUGAAAAAAUCACUAUCCCAUGGGCGUGGAUAGCAUUGUUUGGCUUAUUUAAUACAACAUGGCUUGCGAUUAAUAGUUAAAGCAAAUUCAUGUAUACAGAGUCAGAGUUAAAUCAGGAUUCAGUCACGGCAUUCAGUACUUUAGUUGUAUAGUUGCACUAUAAAAAACUACGUGGCUAAAAAUGACCAAAAAGUUGGGGGGGGGGGGGAUUGCCCAUGUGCUACAAGCUUUCUGAUCUGGCUGGUUCUUACUGUGUUUUCAAUUAAAAUACUUUUGUCAAAUCUUAGCAAAGGAAACAGGACGAGAAACGAGAAAGAAAAGCAAAGAAAAAAGAAGAAAAGUUGAAACAGAAGGAGGAAGAAAAAAAGAUUCUUGAGGUUUGUUUUAAUUCAUAAUUUCCACUUCUCUAGAUGGGACCUGACCAAAUAUUUAGCCCAGUUGGAAGAGCAUUGAACUGGCAUUUCAAAGAUUGCAAGUUUGAAAUCCAGUGGUCCCAGCCACACUUGCGAACAUGAACAUUCACUCAAGAACAUUUCUAGCCAUCAUAUUACAGGGUGAAUAAUAUCACAACAUUAUAACACUUGCAGAACAUGAAUGAUGUACAGUAAACGAGAAUGUUCAAGAAAUUCAGUAUAUAAUUCAUAAUUUUAUGUACUUUUAUAAGCUCUGUAGUACAUGCAACUUUACAUAUUUUCACAUUACACCUGUCAAGUUGAUAUUUAAUAAGUUGAUUACGAAAUUAUUUCCAUGACCAUUGACCAAUUUGUUUCAACCAGUUACAGCCAGACGGGGUGGGUACAGGUUCGCAUCAAAUUCCUGCCUGUUUCGAAAAGUCAAAAUGCUCAAAUCUUGGGUGUGGGGAUUGUGGUUGGAAUUGACUUGUGCAUAAAUACGAAGAUUUUAAAAAUGUUAAUUCUGCAUAUUUCUGUGUGAAUUUGGUCUUGAGAUACGUCAUCGUUUAGUCAGUCCUACAUUUAAUUGCUGGGUCACUCAAAAAUUACAAACUUUGAUUAGCUUUUUAACGAUAUAUUGAAUGAAAAAUAAGGAAAUAAAAUUUCAACUCAUGUUCAUCAUGUGUUUUCCGUCUUUUUGUGUGCCAAAAUGAUGCAAGUUUCCCAAAUGUUCGUAUUUCGCUCCGACAUAUGCCGGCCUGUCCGUAGCAGAAUAUACUGUAUGCAAACAUUGGUUUUUAAUUUUUUUUUACAAUAUUUUGUUCAGGUUUAUGGAAUUUCUGCACCCAUACAGUAAGGGGUUUAUCCACUUACUGUACAUGUAAUACGCGCGUAAUUAAGGGGGAUACAGUCAAACACAUAUGCAAAGGCAUAUACAGUUUAUACAGUAUGCAUGUACAAGGUUAGAAUUUUUGAAAAUAUGUACGGCAUGUAGUAAAUGGGUGACUCCUAACUGAAACAUUGUAUUAUGUGACUGUUUUGCAUACUUUAAAAAUGGUCCGCUGCAAUUUCAAGAUUAACCGUUAUUAACCCACUGGGCACCAGCACUCUCCCCUUGACGUCGUGUGGCGUCGAGUA